rnacentral:rRNA from 1 species
UACGGGGGGGGCAAGCGUUGUUCGGAAUUACUGGGCGUAAAGGGCGCGUAGGCGGCCUUCUAAGUCGAACGUGAAAUCCCCGGGCUCAACCCGGGAACUGCGUCCGAUACUGGAAGGCUUGAAUCCGGGAGAGGGAUGCGGAAUUCCAGGUGUAGCGGUGAAAUGCGUUGAUAUCACUGGGAACACCAAUAGCGAAGGCAGGCUUCUGGGUGCCACCUGACACUGCUAGGACGAAAGCGUGGGGAGCGAAUGGG